rnacentral:snRNA from 1 species
AAACUGAUGGUGAAGUAUUCUAAUUUGUAACAACAGCAUAAAUAU